CAGCCGCCGCGGUAAUACGGAGGGCGCGAGCGUUACCCGGAUUUACUGGGCGUAAAGGGCGUGUAGGCGGCCUGUGGCGUCCCAUGUGAAAGGCCACGGCUCAACCGUGGAGGAGCGUGGGAUACGCUCAGGCUAGAGGGUGGGAGAGGGUGGUGGAAUUCCCGGAGUAGCGGUGAAAUGCGCAGAUACCGGGAGGAACGCCGAUGGCGAAGGCAGCCACCUGGUCCACUUCUGACGCUGAGGCGCGAAAGCGUGGGGAGCAAACCGGAUUAGAUACCCCUGUAGUCCCUGUCUCUUAUAC
rnacentral:rRNA from 1 species